GGCGCUAUAGUGUAGUGGUUAUCACUUGGGAUUCUGAAGAAAAAAGAAAAUCACGUGACGAUUUCCCAAAACCCAGGUUCGAGCCCUGGUAGCGCCU